UACGGGGGGGGGCAAGCGUUGUUCGGAAUUACUGGGCGUAAAGGGCUCGUAGGCGGCCAACUAAGUCCGACGUGAAAUCCCCAGGCUUAACCUGGGAACUGCGUCGGAUACUGGAUGGCUUGAAUUCGGGAGAGGGAUGCAGAAUUCCAGGUGUAGCGGUGAAAUGCGUAGAUAUCUGGAGGAAUACCGGUGGCGAAGGCGGCAUCCUGGACCGACAUUGACGCUGAUGAGCGAAAAGCUAGGGGAGCAAACAGG
rnacentral:rRNA from 1 species